AUAUAGCAAAUUCAGAGAAUAGAACUCUGUUACAGUAAAUGAAUAUUGUUGCGACGCCGACAUUGUCGUUGCGUUCUCAGCGGAAACAUUUCAUAUCGUCAGCGCUGUCUUAGUUCGACUUUCUUUUAUUUUACUACAUUUCCCCUCCAUUUCCCCACACUUGCAUUGAGUUAAGUUCCGAAUUAGCGCCCAAUAUAUAUUGGGUAUACAUAUGCAAAUACAUACUUCAUUCAAUAAUUUCAAUAAAAAUAAAUAAACGACAAAGCAGGCAAAGCAGAACAGCACAUAGUGUGUUUGUGUCACUCUAUAAAGACGAAUACUUUAGAGAAUUCUCUUAAUCCAAUUCUAUUUCUUCUCAAACGAGAAACCAACAGAAACCGAUAAUAAUUCAUUAUAUGCUAUUCAUAGCUAUCGAAGAUUAAUCUCGAAUGGUUUCAUUUUCAUGAUAACCUGCGAUUUCAUACAACUAAAAGCGAUACAAAUGCGGGAAUUUCGGCAUCAUUCCAAUUGAGUUUCGCAACAGCAUCGCGAAUAUAUUGAAUUAAAUUAAAUGGAUUUAGCUUUGUGGGUCUACCUAAUGUACUUUGGGAUUGUUUUAUCGGAAUUUAUAUUUUGUGUGCUUGUUGUGGAUCUUUUUUAGUAUUAUAUUUGGACUGUCAAAACACAUUAGGGAUUGUUUCCAAAGGCCUGAGUGGUAGUCAGCAAAUGAAAACGGUGAGAGUACAGUGUGAUGUUCACCAGCUACAAUUGUUUCUUAGCAUUCGUAGAGCGAGAAUGAAAUGACGUUGAGCUUUGCAACCGAUUGAAGUAUUACUUUUGAUGUCUUUGAGUGUUUCUUGUCAAUUCAACAACGAUAAAAAAGCAUCAUGCACACCAAUGCAAACGAACAUAAAACUAAGACUAAUGACACUUUUUGUUUGUUUACAUUUCCAUUCCAUUGUUUGCAGUUCAUUCUGACACUUAUCUAGCAUCGUUUGACAGUAAAGCUUCUGUAUUUUAAUUGUGUAUUUAAAAUUUGAAAUAAAAUAUGGGUAAACUUUUCGAAGAGUUUCUGAUUGUACUUGGAAUUUCUGGUCCACUUUCACUGGUAUUCAUACUUGGGAUUAUUGCCUCAUGUAUGAUUUGCUGCCUCUUCUAUCAGUGGCACUGCGAAAGAGUUCGACGAAUGGAACGACAAGAGCAACCGGAUGAGCUUGAAUCAUUAAAUUAACCACAUCAACUGUCUAACAAUCCAGCUUGACCUUACAUAAUCAAAAGACAACCGAAUACUUUUUAGAGAUAACUCACACGUCGACUACCUCAACUAAGCUGUCAGUGAACGAUUAAGUUGAGAGAAAUUCCACUACAUAUCCAUCUUAUCAAAAUUGGAAUCAUUUUUCUUAAUAAACAGAAGCAAAUAAAAAAGAA